rnacentral:rRNA from 1 species
UACGUAGGGUGCAAGCGUUGUCCGGAAUUAUUGGGCGUAAAGAGCUCGUAGGCGGUCUGUCGCGUCUGCUGUGAAAACUCAGGGCUUAACCCUGAGCUUGCAGUGGGUACGGGCAGACUAGAGUGCGGUAGGGGAGACUGGAAUUCCUGGUGUAGCGGUGAAAUGCGCAGAUAUCAGGAGGAACACCGGUGGGCGAAGGCGGGUCUCGUGGGCAGUUACUGACGCUGGAGGAGCGAAAGCGUGGGGAGCGAACAGG